rnacentral:rRNA from 1 species
UACGUAGGGGGCGAGCGUUGUCCGGAAUUACUGGGCGUAAAGGGCGCCUAGGCGGUUAUUUAAGUCCGCUGUGAAAGACCGAGGCUCAACCUCGGGGUGUCAGCGGAGACUGGGUAACUGGAGUGUCGGAGAGGAGUGCGGAAUUCCUGGUGUAGCGGUGGAAUGCGUAGAGAUCAGGAGGAACACCGAUGGCGAAGGCAGCACUCUGGCCGAAGACUGACGCUGAAGCGCGAAAGCUGGGGGAGCGAACGGG